GAUUUUCCAUAGUCUAAAACUCUACGCAAUAUUUUUAGGGAUUUCCAUGCCACAUUGCUUGUUAUUUUGUUAAUAUUUCUCUAACAUGAAAGAGUUGCAGAUGCACAUAAAAACUUGAACCAACCUAUAAUGGUAUAAUUAUGGAAUCAUGUUGCAAUACUGCAUAUAUAGAUAGAGUUUCCUUGAGAUUUUAUGCAGCAACAACAAACUUUCCUGCAGUUUCUGGACUCUUAUCAUGAGAAUACAGUUUGGAAUUGUUGGUGCGAAAUCAAAGUUUCCUAUGUGCAAUAAAUAAUAAGUUCCUUAAAAGUUCUAUGUGCAUUUAAUUAUUUGAUACUACCUAAUGUCUCCUUCAGAAAGUCGUCUGUAGUUCCUGACGUGCAAUCGUUGUACUUGAUUCUGAAAAUCGAUGAUAUAUGUAUCAUUUUCCUUGGCUUCGCCACCAAGCUUACUCCAACAAGGGCUUAAUAAGAAAGGGAAAAACAAAUGACCAUGACAAGCUUCUUAGUUUUUUCUGACAUUGAAAUGCACCUGAACUAAUUUUUUUGUUUGAAAUUAGAAGGAAAAGAAAAAAAAUGUAAUUGAGAUAAGAUCUUUAUAUACCUGUAAAACUAGGUAGAUAGAAGAGACAUAACAAUAAUCGUUAUCUCUGGUCUGGUCCCUCACCAAACACAUGCAGUCU
rnacentral:lncRNA from 1 species